UCAUGACCUGAGCCGAAGUCGGCCGCUUAACCGACUGAGCCACCCAGGCGCCCCAUUUAAUGUUUAUUUUUAAGAGAGAGAGAGAGUGUGUGUGGGGGGGGGGGGGAGAGGCAGAGAGAGAUGGGAGACGUAGAAUCCGAAGCAGGCUCCAGGCUCUGAGCUGUCAGCACAGAGCCCGACGGGAGGGGUGGCUCGAACCCACGAACCGUGAGAUCAUGACCUGAGCCGAAGUUGGACGCCUAACUGACUGAGCCAGCCAGGUGCCCCCAUAAAUGUAGUUUUAGAUUUUCCAGCAGCCACAUUAGAGAGCAAGAAAAAUCAACAGGUGCCAUUAAUUUAAGUAAUAUAUUCUGUUUAACCCCGUAUACCCCAAAUAUCAUUUGGACACGUGGCUGGGAGCUACGGUAACGGGUGUACCUGUACCAGGCGCCCUCCCCACUCUGGGUAAAAUGGUCGGAUGAUAGCAACGCCAUCGCAGCAACGCUGAGAAGUCAGCCACGCUUGUGUCCCAGCGUCUUCAUCCCUGUUCCCUUCCUUUGCUUUGCCUGCUUCUUCUUCCUUAUCUGAAAUUCCUACCCCUGCCUCAGAGCUUCCACUCGUCUCUGGUGCCCCCUGCCCCAUGGCUUAUACUUUCUGCGUCUUUCCACUCUGCUGCCAGAGCCUGUGCGGUUCUGUUUAUACCAAUUUCUCACUGUGUCCCCUUCAGAUACACCCAGAGUCUUGCUUUGCGUCACGUGGGAACGGCACGGUGAGCAUCUCUGUUCUCAUUUCGCAUCACUUCAUAGGGUGCCCCGGCCUUCUCUAUAGAUGACUGACCUUCGUCUGGGUCCCAAGUUGCUGCAGUCAGCGUGACCCGGGUGGCUGCAUCAUGUGGCUUAAAGCGCAAAACGAGACGUGGCCCCCCUGUCCAUAUAGUAAGUUCCUUAAGGAGCGGCAGGUCCUCUGGGAAGCCUCAGAAGGUAAGAACUUGUGCCUAGUCCAGAGGAGAAGGUGCUCAGGAGGACAAAAGGGCCACAGAAAGGGGGUUCGCGUGUGGUCUUGAAGUGAUUGCCCCACCCGCCACCCCCAAUAAAUAGAAAUUUAAAAAAAUAAAGAAGUUGCCUAAUAAAUUUCACAAGCUGUUGUGAAGUCAGGGCUUCCUGCCCUUCCUGGUUCCUCUCUCUACCUCCAUCUCCCGCCCCCCUCUAAACUCUCUCCUCCCCCACCUCUUUUCUUUAUUCCAGUCCGCAACAAGAUGGCACCCUCUUAAUCCUCUGACAUAGCUGGGCAUGAUUUCCAGUUGUGGAAAAGAUCCAUCUGGAGACACCUCCACUUGCCUUCUGAAUCACUUCUGAGUUGCUCACCUGGGUUGCGUGGUUUUGCCUGGGAUAGGGACUUUUUAGGGGGUGUUGCACUGGUCCAAUAUUCCUUGGAUUUGAAGAUUUAAAAAGUGACCGAUGAUUUCUGCCUCACUUGCUACAAAGGAGCAUUCGUAAUAUGAUUCCGUGGGAGUUUCUUUGGAAUUCACAUUAUAAUCUGAAUGAGUGAAAAAAAGAAACCUGACAGCAGGUUUUGGUGGAGAUGGGGUGGGGGGUGGGGGUCGGAAAGGAAUGUCAUGGUGCCUGGGGGGGAUGAAACAGAGAAAGGAAGAAAACUGGAGAUCACCGACCUGGAAGGCAGACUCCCUGCUUCUCAUUUUUCUCUCCCCCUGGAGCCAGCCUAUGGACCAGAGCUGAUGGUUUUCUGUGUCAUCCAUGUACCCCAAUGCCCUUGGUAGGGGAGGCCUGUUGCUGUAGAUUCCAUACUAGCUUGACUCCACCGUUAUCUGAGAUUGACUGAUCUCUUUAGUUCCAGUCUUUAUAGAAAUGCGAUGUUGAGAUGCCAAGCUCUUGAGAGAGUCAGGGAAGAGCGGAUCUGAGUCACGACGGUCCUGGGAACUCAUGCUUGUGCCCCCAGUGACUGGGCUGACAUCUUCUAGACCCAGACCGAAUUCAUGUUCCUCAAACGCAUUAUGUUCACGGAGCUUCCGAGAUCCACUGGGCGUAAGGGGUGGGCUUGCAGGGGGAGGAAAACUUCACCUUUAUGUAGAUAACCAAGGAAAUGCUAGUAUCAGGGUUUUUUUUCUCCAGAAGAGAUGGGGGCACGUCAGGGGGAAGUAGUUUGCAACCUGUGAAUGGUCCCAUCUGUGCUGCAUUUUUGUCUGCCCUCCUUCCCUGAUCAAUGGAUUUGUUCUUGGGGUGUUCUGUGGCUCAUAUUCUCUCCUGAAUUUUCUAUUUAUCCUUCCUCAUGAAGUUAGGCUAUUUUUUCCCGGUUCUUUUCUCUCAAGAGGAUAGAUAAUUCAGACCUGUGUCAUCUUGCCAGUUUCACCCUGAUAGGAACAGGGCACCUAGAAAUACAGUGUCUUCUAUGUUUUAAGUUAUGGAAUAACAAGCUUACUUGCUUCUGAUGACCCAACGGAACCAAGGACCGCUGGAGAUUUUGACUGGCUUUUUUUUUUUUUUUUGAGUUUUUAAAAAGAUUAUAAUUUCUGCAAAUCAGAAAUUGCCCUACGAUGUAGUUUAGUUGAUUAAUGUGCAUUUUACAUAGCCCCAAGUAUUACUCUCAAAAAUAGUUGGCCUAAUAAUGAUGAUGUACAUGAACAAGUUUGCUUUGUUAAUUAUGCCAUCUUCUGGGAUUUCUGAGGAAGAACCAGAGACAUGACCCUAACUUCAUUAAAUUAAGAUACUAAUAUUUGGACUUAAUCAAUGUAAUGAAAAUAUUAUGAAUACUUAAUGUUCAGAAAUUACAUCUCUUUCUUCGGCGACUCAUCUUAAUUUUAUACCGAGGAAGAUCAAAGUAGAUUGAAGAGAGAAAAAGUAAGGGCCAUCAGGCCUCACAGAACUAGAGUCAGGGGUCAAUUAGAAUGCAUUCCAGACUUAAGAGGUCUGUGAAGUGCGUUGAAUAAAUGAUCUAAAGAUCUGUUUACCCCGGGGUGUCAGAGAUGGCUGCUAUUUGCUGGUGGGAUUUAAAGCAGACAUCUUGGCUCCUUGUCAGCCUGUUGGAAGGAUCUGGCACAUUGUAGGAACUCAGUGUUCAAAAAGAGGGGACACAGACUAACUUCUUAGAUACUGAUUUUUUGAAGGUUGAGUGUUACUAUUCCAAAACUUCUGUGUGUGACAACAAACAAACAAACAAAGAAA